rnacentral:rRNA from 1 species
CCUNAUACCGGANNCCCCCUACGGGAGAAAGCAGGGGACCUUCGGGCCUUGCGCUAUCAGAUGAGCCUAGGUCGGAUUAGCUAGUUGGUGAGGUAAUGGCUCACCAAGGCGACNAUCCNUAACUGGUCUGAGAGGAUGAUCNNUCACACUGGAACUGAGACACGGUCCAGACUCCUACGGGAGGCAGCAGUGGGGAAUAUUGGACAAUGGGCGAAAGCCUGAUCCAGCCAUGCCGCGUGUGUGAAGAACGUCUUCGGAUUGUAAAGCACUCUUAAGUUGGGAGGAAGGGUUGUAGAUUAAUACUCUGCAAUUUUGACGUUACCGACAGAAUAAGCACCGGCUAACUCUGUGCCAGCCAGCCGCGGGAAUACAGAGGGUGCAAGCGUUAAUCGGAAUUACUGGGCGUGAAGAACGCCCAC